CCCCUCUCAGGGUCGCAUCUGGAGAGUUUUCAGUAUUCUACCAGUCUCGACUACAGGAGGGAGAGUCAAGCAAAGGCAUAUCCAUUCUUAGCUUGGACAGUGGCUAGCGAGUGGAAGGCAGUCUGCUACAAGC